rnacentral:rRNA from 1 species
UACGUAGGGGGCAAGCGUUGUCCGGAUUUAUUGGGCGUAAAGAGCGUGUAGGCGGCCAUACAGGUCAGCUGUGAAAACUCGAGGCUCAACCUCGAGACGUCGGUUGAAACCGUGUGGCUAGAGUCCGGAAGAGGAGAGUGGAAUUCCCGGUGUAGCGGUGAAAUUCGUAGAUAUUCGGAAGAACACCAGUGGCGAAGGCGGCUGACUGGACAUGUAUUGACGCUGAGGUGCGAAAGCGUGGGGAGCAAACAGG